rnacentral:rRNA from 1 species
CAGUGGGGAAUAUUGGACAAUGGGCGAAAGCCUGAUCCAGCCAUGCCGCGUGUGUGAAGAAGGUCUUCGGAUUGUAAAGCACUUUAAGUUGGGAGGAAGGGCAGUAAGUUAAUACUUUGAUGUUUUGACGUUACCGGCAGAAUAAGCACCGGCUAACUCCGUGCCAGCAGCCGCGGUAAUACGGAGGGUGCAAGCGUUAAUCGGAAUUACUGGGCGUAAAGCGCGCGUAGGUGGUUNGUUAAGUUGGAUGUGAAAUCCCCGGGCUCAACCUGGGAACUGCAUUCAAAACUGNCNAGCUAGAGUNUGGUAGAGGGGGGUGGAAUUUCCUGUGUAGCGGUGAAAUGCGUAGAUAUNGGNAGGAACACCAGUGGCGAAGGCGACCCCCUGGAC